rnacentral:lncRNA from 1 species
UUUUUUUUUAUCAAAGUAAAAUUGUAUGCAUAUAUGCUCGGAAUUACUAACAUCUGAAAGGAUAUAUAUAGCAAGACAACAUUAAAAAAUGUCAAUUUUUUCUUGACCUUCAAAAAACUUAAUUCUUAUUUUUUAUAUUUUGGAUUUAAAAAAAAAGAGAGAAUCUGCUGUGUAUAACAUGAAGCACUAUUGAGGAUGAGAAUAGCAAAAAAUGGGCAAAAUGGGCAUAAUAUUAAGAAAAUACUUGUUGUGCUAAUUGGUGUUUUUACUUUUGGUUUUGAAAUACAAUUUGUCAUGUUUGUUAUACUAACAUAUAUGUAUAUGUGUACAUGUGCAUGAAAUAUAGUUUGAAUAUUUACAUUUAAAAAAAUUAAUAUAUUUACUAUUCUAUAUGCAUGCAGUAGCAGUGGGGAAAGGGUCUGCUAGUAUAUUAUUGUCCAUUGUAUAAAAUCCUAGUCACAUUUGUGUGUAUUGCAAUUUUUAAUGUUUUUAUUGAUAUAGAAUUUUUUAUAUGCUGUGAUAUUUCAAACAGUUUUCCUUCUACUACAUCACAAGACAUUCUUGGUAUUUUGCCUGUGUAAUCCUGGGGGAAUAUAUAUGAUCAUAUAGUUACUGGUAGUUUUAUAUUGUAUAGACAGGCAUUAUGUAUGUACUGAAAGUUAAAAGACAUACUUGUAGAGCAAUCUACAACUUUAAUAUAGUUAAUAGUAAUUUAUAUGAAUAUGCUUAUAAGACAUUAAAUUGUAUAUCUGUACUAACAACUUGAUUUUACAGAAAAUUUAUUUUCAUCUGUCCACAUAAUACAUAAAUGUAAAAUAACUCAAAAUGCUCUUGACCAAAUUUCCAAUAUUUCAUUGAUGUC